CCUUCGAUAGCUCAGUUGGUAGAGCUGGGGACUGUAGUUGUUCGCAGCAUUAAUCCCUAGGUCACUGGUUCGAAUCCGGUUCGAAAGA